GAUGAACGCUAGCGGCGUGCCUAAUGCAUGCAAGUCGAACGGGAACCUUUGGAAUUAUUCUGAAGGGGAGAGUGGCGAACGGGUGAGUAACACGUUGGUGACCUGCCCCAGAGAGGGGGAUAACCAUUGGAAACGAUGGCUAAUACCCCGGAUGUCGUUGUUGUUAGAGACCAAUGACUAAAGCUCCGGCGCUCUGGGAGGGGCCUGCGGCCCAUCAGCUUGUUGGUAGGGUAACGGCCUACCAAGGCGAAGACGGGUAGGGGGCGUGAGAGCGUGACCCCCCACACUGGUACUGAAACACGGACCAGAUACCUACGGGUAGCAGCAGCAAGGAAUAUUGCCCAAUGGACGAAAGUCUGAGGCAGCAACGCCGCGUGGAGGAUGAAGGCCUUCGGGUUGUAUACUCCUUUUCUGG
rnacentral:rRNA from 1 species